AAAGAUGCUUGGCAUCACUUAUUCUUAGAGGAAUUCAGUUCAAAUAAUAAGAUAAAGCCUCAUUAUCCACUGCACUCCGGAUGUGCUGACCCCUGCGAUUUCCCUAAAUGUGGGAAACUCGACUGCAUAAUUUGUGGUAGUGGGGGACUGCGUUUGCGCUCUCCCCUG